rnacentral:rRNA from 1 species
UGGAGAGUUUGAUCCUGGCUCAGAUUGAACGCUGGCGGCAGGCCUAACACAUGCAAGUCGAGCGGAUGAAGGGAGCUUGCUCCUUGAUUUAGCGGCGGACGGGUGAGUAAUGCCUAGGAAUCUGCCUGGUAGUGGGGGAUAACGUUCCGAAAGGAACGCUAAUACCGCAUACGUCCUACGGGAGAAAGCAGGGGACCUUCGGGCCUUGCGCUAUCAGAUGAGCCUAGGUCGGAUUAGCUAGUUGGUGAGGUAAUGGCUCACCAAGGCGACGAUCCGUAACUGGUCUGAGAGGAUGAUCAGUCACACUGGAACUGAGACACGGUCCAGACUCCUACGGGAGGCAGCAGUGGGGAAUAUUGGACAAUGGGCGAAAGCCUGAUCCAGCCAUGCCGCGUGUGUGAAGAAGGUCUUCGGAUUGUAAAGCACUUUAAGUUGGGAGGAAGGGCAACCUAAUACGUUAGUGUUUUGACGUUACCGACAGAAUAAGAGACACCGGCUAACUUCGUGCCAGCAGCCGCGGUAAUACGAAGGGUGCAAGCGUUAAUCGGAAUUACUGGGCGUAAAGCGCGCGUAGGUGGUUCGUUAAGUUGGAUGUGAAAGCCCCGGGCUCAACCUGGGAACUGCAUCCAAAACUGGCGAGCUAGAGUACGGUAGAGGGUGGUGGAAUUUCCUGUGUAGCGGUGAAAUGCGUAGAUAUAGGAAGGAACACCAGUGGCGAAGGCGACCACCUGGACUGAUACUGACACUGAGGUGCGAAAGCGUGGGGAGCAAACAGGAUUAGAUACCCUGGUAGUCCACGCCGUAAACGAUGUCAACUAGCCGUUGGGUUCCUUGAGAACUUAGUGGCGCAGCUAACGCAUUAAGUUGACCGCCUGGGGAGUACGGCCGCAAGGUUAAAACUCAAAUGAAUUGACGGGGGCCCGCACAAGCGGUGGAGCAU